UUAGUACUCCCUCCAUCCCAAAAUUCUUGUCUUAAUUUCAUCUAGAUACGGAUGUAUCUAAUACUAAAACGUGACUUGAUACAUCCGGAUUUAGACAAAUCUAAGACAAGAAUUUUGGGACGGAGGGAGUAGAUU
rfam:Triticum aestivum genome assembly, contig: Triticum_aestivum_CS42_TGACv1_scaffold_201277_3AL